rnacentral:rRNA from 1 species
GACGAACGCUGGCGGCGUGCCUAAUACAUGCAAGUCGAGCGAAUGACGAGAAGCUUGCUUCUCUGAUUUAGCGACGGACGGGUGAGUAACACGUGGGCAACCUGCCCUACAGAUCGGGAUAACUCAGGGAAACCGGGGCUAACACCGGAUAAUCCUUCGAAUCACAUGUUUUGAAGUUGAAAGGCGCUUCGGCGUCACUGUAGGAGGGGCUCGCGGUGCAUUAGCUAGUUGGUGGGGUAACGGCCUACCAAGGCAACGAUGCAUAGCCGACCUGAGAGGGUGAUCGGCCACAUUGGGACUGAGACACGGCCCAAACUCCUACGUGAGGCAGCAGUAGGGAAUCUUCCACAAUGGACGAAAGUCUGAUGGAGCAACGCCGCGUGAGUGAUGAAGGUUUUCGGAUCGUAAAACUCUGUUGUAAGGGAAGAACAAGUACGUUAGGAAAUGAACGUACCUUGACGGUACCUUAUUAGAAAGCCACGGCUAACUACGUGCCAGCCGCCGCCGUAA